UAAGAUGCAGGCAGAACAGCAGGUUCCAGGCCUCCUGUCUGUGUCCCCAAUUGCUUGAGUUCUGCUGGUGGCAACAAGGAUGUAGGAGGAAGGGGGACACCGAAGAGGUGCUCCAGUGUGGAUCUGGGCCUUUGCCCUGGAGCGGUCCUUCCACCUCACCUGGGAUGGUCAGGAUCUUUAGUGUAAGACGGGGAGGGGACCUGGCUCUGAGGGAUCUUUUUCCCAAGGCAUAUUCUAUAGCGGGCUCUCCCCAGCCCCACUCCUAGCUGCUGCAUCCAUGGGGCCUCAUUUCAGUAUGCCAGAGCAGAGCUGGCUCCUAAUUCAGAGGAAGGAAUCUGUCUACGCUCUCUCACUCUGUGCUUCUUCUCCACCCUCCCCAGGCAAAAUCUGCAUGUUGCUGGGAGAUGCUGGCCACCACAAGCACAGAAUUCCAGACUUGAGGCAGGAAACCUGGGGCAGCUCACCUCACAGAAGCACCUUUAACAGACACUCAGCCGAGGCCUGCAGCUGCUAAGGGCCACUUGCUCCAAUUAUCUGGUAAGGCAGAGUUCUAAGAGUAGGCCCUUCAUGGGGUACCUGGACCAAGCUGAUCGGAUCCAGACCUGUGAGCCAUGAGAACUUUAGAACUCUCCGGGUUUUUCUGGUGAUCGAUCAUAUGGAUGAGGUGAAUUAUUUCUUAAUUUCUUGCCUUGGCCUGGGAUUUUGGAAUCAUGACAAAGCCAGGACAUUGGACAUUCUCUUUCAAUUGGAAAAUACUAAACUGAGGGCACUGUAAACGUAAGAAGGGCUAUAUCAACCCUCACUGGUAAUCAGAGCGAUGCAGAUGAAAACCAGAAACCCAUUUUCUCCAGCAUUCUAGCAGAAAGUCAGGGUUUGAUCAGCACUAAGGACCAAGAUACUGUCACUGCCCACCCUUAAGUGUGCCUUCUGGUGAAAUGCAUGUAGGGUGUGCAUGUCUCCCAGGUUGUGACCACCUGGAGACUGGUCACACCCCCUCUAAAGGCCCACCAGCAGGCCUAGAGCCCUUACCCUGCAGUGCUGGCUUUCCACCCCCCUCAUGGACUCUCUCCAUCCACUGCUCCCUGUCCCAGGACCAAGCCUGACUCCAGCCUCCAAAGACCACCAUCCUUCUCAUCCACAUCCCAGAGGCCCUCCUUGCCAUGCACCCAUCACAUCAUCAUAUUUCCCUCAUCUUCUUGUCUGAAAUAUUCUUAUUUGUACACAUGUACACUUCCCCCAGCCCCUGUGAAUGCCAUGAAGGCAGGCCUGUGAUGCUCUCUGAGCCUCGGGAUCUAGGGCAGUACACGACGCAGAUGCUCCAUCAAUAUUGGGGGAUGUCCAAAUAAAGCCAUGUCCAGCCACACUGGGUGGGCAGGUACAUCAUGGCACAGACACUCAUGGAGUCUUGGGGCUAAGGGAGAACAGCGGGGAGAGAGCGAGCCAUGAAAUGAUGCUAGAUGGGGGAAAAUGUUACAAAAUAUAUCUGAUGGCUUGAUUAUUUUCUGUAAAAAAAUUAUAUAUUGAUAUUACACACACACACGUGCGUAUAUAUGACAAAGACCAAAUAUUAACUACUGGCAUC
ensembl:lncRNA